AUUGAACGCUGGCGGCAUGCCUUACACAUGCAAGUCGAACGGUAACGGGCCUUCGGGUGCCGACGAGUGGCGAACGGGUGAGUAAUGCAUCGGAACGUACCUUUCAGUGGGGGAUAACGUAGCGAAAGUUACGCUAAUACCGCAUAUUCUGUGAGCAGGAAAGCAGGGGAUCGCAAGGCCUUGCGCUGAUUGAGCGGCCGAUGUCAGAUUAGCUAGUUGGUGAGGUAAAGGCUCACCAAGGCGACGAUCUGUAGCGGGUCUGAGAGGAUGAUCCGCCACACUGGAACUGAGACACGGUCCAGACUCCUACGGGAGGCAGCAGUGGGGAAUUUUGGACAAUGGGGGCAACCCUGAUUCAGCCAUGCCGCGUGAGUGAAGAAGGCCUUCGGGUUGUAAAGCUCUUUCGGUCGGGAAGAAAUCGCAUGGGUUAAUACCCUGUGCGGAUGACGGUACCGGCAUAAGAAGCACCGGCUAACUACGUGCCAGCCGCCGCCGUAAAAC
rnacentral:rRNA from 1 species